rnacentral:rRNA from 1 species
GUGGGGAAUAUUGGACAAUGGGCGAAAGCCUGAUCCAGCCAUGCCGCGUGUGUGAAGAAGGUCUUCGGAUUGUAAAGCACUUUAAGUUGGGAGGAAGGGCAGUAAGUUAAUACCUUGCUGUUUUGACGUUACCGACAGAAUAAGCACCGGCUAACUUCGUGCCAGCAGCCGCGGUAAUACGAAGGGUGCAAGCGUUAAUCGGAAUUACUGGGCGUAAAGCGCGCGUAGGUGGUUUUGUAAGUUGGAGGUGAAAUCCCCGGGCUCAACCUGGGAACUGCCUCCAAAACUACUGAGCUAGAGUACGGUAGAGGGUAGUGGAAUUUCCUGUGUAGCGGUGAAAUGCGUAGAUAUAGGAAGGAACACCAGUGGCGAAGGCGACUACUUGGACUGAUACUGACACUGAGGUGCGAAAGCGUGGGGAGCAAACAGGAUUAGAAACCCGAGUAGUCC